UACGAAGGGGCUAGCGUUGCUCGGAAUCACUGGGCGUAAAGCGCACGUAGGCGGCUUUUAAGUCAGAGGUGAAAUCCUGGAGCUCAACUCCAGAACUGCCUUUGAUACUGGAGAGCUUGAGUCCGGGAGAGGUGAGUGGAACUGCGAGUGUAGAGGUGAAAUUCGUAGAUAUUCGCAAGAACACCAGUGGCGAAGGCGGCUCACUGGCCCGGUACUGACGCUGAGGUGCGAAAGCGUGGGGAGCAA
rnacentral:rRNA from 1 species